GACAGAGGAUGCAAGCGUUAUCCGGAAUGAUUGGGCGUAAAGCGUCUGUAGGUGGCUUUUUAAGUCUGCCGUCAAAUCCCAGGGCUUAACCCUGGACAGGCGGUGGAAACUACCAAGCUGGAGUACGGUAGGGGCAGGGGGAAUUUCCGGUGGAGCGGUGAAAUGCGUAGAGAUCAAGAGGAACACUCGUGGCGAAAGCGAGCUACUGGACAAUUCCUGACGCUGAGGCUCGAAGGCUAGGGUAGCGAAAGGG
rnacentral:rRNA from 1 species